rnacentral:lncRNA from 1 species
GUAGACAGCAGGAAAGAGAACUGAGUGGUGAUAAAACUCCAGACCCUUUGUGAAACCAUAUCAAAUACUACAAAGGUUGAGAAAAUUCUGCCUCAGCAACCUCGGGCCCAGGCAAAGAAUGACCAGAAGGCGCUAAAUGAUUUGCAAAAAUAAGAUACUUAAGAAUGAUGGUUCAUACAGACAUUGAGG